GCGGGCGUAGCUCAAUGGUAGAGCCCCAGCCUUCCAAGCUGGUCAUGCCGGUUCGAUCCCGGUCGCCCGCU
rnacentral:tRNA from 1 species